GAUGAAGAACGUAGCGAAAUGCGAUAAGUAGUGUGAAUUGCAAAAUUCAGUGAAUCAUCGAAUCUUUGAACGCACAUUGCGCCCCAUGGUAUUCCGUGGGGCAUGCCUGUUCGAGCGUCAUUUACCCCCUCAAGCUCCGCUUGGUGUUGGGCGUCUGUCCCGCUUCGCGCGCGGACUCGCCCCAAAGGUAUUGGCAGCGGUCGUGCCAGCUUCUCGCGCAGCACAUUGCGCUUCUCGAGGCACCGGUGGGCCCGCGUCCAUCAAGCUCACCCCCCCAGUUUGACCUCGGAUCAGGUAGGGAUACCCGCUGAACUUAAGCAUAUCAAUAAGCGGAGGA
rnacentral:misc_RNA from 1 species